GAUGAACGCUGGCGGCGUGCAUAACACAUGCAAGUCGAGCGAAGCGGGGACGGGUGAGUAACACGUGGCUAACCUCCUAUAAGACUGGGAUAAAUUCGGGAAACCGGAGCUAAACCGGAUAAUUAGAGAUGGUUCCGCUCUGUAUUAGCUAGUUGGUAAGGUAACGGCGUACCAAGGCAACGAUGCAUAGCCGACCUGAGAGGAUGAUCGGCCACACUGCAUCUGCGACACGGUCCAGACUCCUACGUGAGGCAGCAGUAGCGAUGCUGCCGCAAUGGUCGACAGCCUGACGGAGCAACGCCGCGUUAGUGAUGAAGGUCUUCGGAUCGUAAAUCUCUGUUAUUAGGGAAGCGGUACCUAAUCAGAAAGCCACGGCUAACUACUUGCCAGCAGCCGCUGUAAUAC
rnacentral:rRNA from 1 species